rnacentral:misc_RNA from 1 species
AUCAUUACCGAGUUAUACAACUCAUCAACCCUGUGAACAUACCUAUAACGUUGCCUCGGCGGGAACAGACGGCCCCGUAACACGGGCCGCCCCCGCCAGAGGACCCCCUAACUCUGUUUCUAUAAUGUUUCUUCUGAGUAAACAAGCAAAUAAAUUAAAACUUUCAACAACGGAUCUCUUGGCUCUGGCAUCGAUGAAGAACGCAGCGAAAUGCGAUAAGUAAUGUGAAUUGCAGAAUUCAGUGAAUCAUCGAAUCUUUGAACGCACAUUGCGCCCGCCAGUAUUCUGGCGGGCAUGCCUGUUCGAGCGUCAUUACAACCCUCAGGCCCCCGGGCCUGGCGUUGGGGAUCGGCGGAAGCCCCCUGCGGGCACAACGCCGUCCCCCAAAUACAGUGGCGGUCCCGCCGCAGCUUCCAUUGCGUAGUAGCUAACACCUCGCAACUGGAGAGCGGCGCGGCCACGCCGUAAAACACCCAACUUCUGAAUGUUGACCUCGAAUCAGGUAGGAAUACCCGCUGAACUUAAG